GAUAAACGCUGGCGGCGUGCCUAACACAUGCAAGUCGAACGUCCUUCUUUCUUCGGAAAGAAGGGAGUGGCGGACGGGUGAGUAACACGUGGGUUAUCUCCCUUGAGGUGAGGAAUACCGGCGAGAAAUCGCCGACAAGACCGCAUACGAUUGGCAACAAUCAAAGUUGUGCUUCGCGAGAAGUAUGACGCCACAAGAUGAGCUCGCGCCCGAUUAGCUCGUUGGUGAGGUAAAGGCUUACCAAGGCGACCAUCGGUAGCUGGUCUGAGAGGAUGAUCAGCCACACUGGGAUUGAGAACGGCCCAGACUCCUACGGGGGCAGCAGUGAGGAAUUUUUCCGCAAUGGACGCAAGUCUGACGGAGCAACGCCGCGUGCAGGAUGACGGCCUUCGGGUUGUAAACUGCUUUUCUGAGAGACGAGCAAGGACGGUAUCUC
rnacentral:rRNA from 1 species